UUUAAAAAAAAAACUUAAUUAUAUAUACUGUAUACACAGUACAUAUUUUUCAAAUUUCAGCAGGGGCAAUUGUUCUCAUUGGCCCAUCCGUCCUUGGUGGAUAGACCAAGAUACACAAACUAGAGGAGGAUGGCUUCCAUAACAUCAUCACUAGAAUUGCAGGAAUUGGCUACUUCUAGGAUCUCUUCAAAGCCUUGUCACCUGUAAGGAACAUCUUGGCUUUGUGAAUCACAGGGUUUGGCAGGUGAAUGUUUCUAGCUUUGGUAGAGGUUGGGUUUCAGAGGUCAUGGACUCAGAUUAUUGGAAGUAGGUGAUGGUAGAUCAUAAGGACUGCAGAUGAAGGAUCUUGGCUAUUAGGAUUUGGUUGAAUUUUUUCAGUAUUUGUAACAGGUUGCAACUCCAAUUAAUGAGCACAUAUUAGUUUCAUUGUGGAUACCAAGUUGUCUCUCAUGAAUUAUUUCCUAAAGACCUCAUUUAUGGAUUGUCAUUUAUGACUGGCAUACUUGUUUGCCCCUACUGCAUGCUAUUGCCAUCGUUGUGUGGACCUUGUAUACUUGACCACUUAAGCUAACUUAUAUUUCUAAAUAUUCUUGCCAAGAACAAUCAGAUUAAUUUCCAAGAAUCCAGUAUUGAACUUUGACGAGGGCAUUUGUUCUGCAGGAAGAGGUUACAUUUGCCCAUUUUCUUCUACUUGAUAUUGAAUUGCUUUGUCCAUGCUACUUCAGAUCCUUUGUUUCAUUCUACCAUUCAUGCCUUCUUAAAGUAAUUUUAAGGUUAUCUAAAUAAGAUAGCCUGAAUUUAUAUUGCAAUUAUUCUUUGUUUAGUAAUAGCCUUAAGCUUGACACCAAUCUUAAUCUUCAACCUAGGAAAAGAGUCCCCUUGCUCCAUAUCAAACAUCUGAAUCAGUUUAUCAAUGCUAUUUUCUAUCUUCUUUUGAUCUUGUUGUUUGUUUUUAUUGGAAGCAUCUUUGUAUAUUAUUUGUGUUUUGACAAAAGUUAGUUGUAACUUUAGUAAAGGUGAGUAGAAAAAAGAAGAGGUUAUGUGGAUGAUACUGAGCUUGGUAGAAGUAAAUUUUUUUUGGUACAGAGGCUCUAUAAUUCAAGAUGAUAGGAACUUAUGAAAGAUGUCAUAAAUUGGAUUAAAGUAGGCUGGGAAAAAUAAAAGGGACUUUUUGGAGUUUUAUAUGAUUCUAGAAUACUUUUUAGAUUGAAAGACAAGUUUUGUAGAAUGGUUGUUAUGUUAGUUAUGAUAUACGGGUCAAUGUUGUGCGAUUAGGAAACAACAUACUCUGAGAAUAGGUGUGGCUGAGAUGAGAAUGUUGAGAUGGAUCAAGCCUCAAGGUAAAACGCAUGCCUUAGAGUGACUCUCUGUUGCGCAACCGCAAGCGUACGGUUUUGCCAAUUAGAGAUAUCGAUCCCACGAAGACCAAGUGUGUUUCUAUUCUCUAUUGCAACAAUAGGCUAUUUAGGCAAUUAAAAGAUGUAGAGAUGGGAGAAUAAAAAUAACAAAGCAGGAGAAAUUACACAAAUGGGGAAUACAGAAAUGCAGGGGUGUGGACUGUGAAUCAAAUUUAGGUAUACCUAGGCUUGGGAACUCACCACAAAGAAUAAUGAAAGACCUGUUUGGAUCUCUAUUUGGUUUGGGUAGAUCAAUUGAAGGGUAAUAAUCCUUAAUUACUUGUCACUCUCUUUCAAGAGAUAACAAGUUGAUUUUGAUUAAGCCAACCCCUACUUUCGUGGUAGAUGAACCCUUUCAAAACCCCAUUAAGCUUAAUGAUUAAACAAUAAUCCCUCAAGAAAUACUCUUCAAUAAUUUUAGGGUUGAUUUAAGAAUUUCCAAGACCUAGAAUAACCUUUCAGUUAAUCUUGGUCCCUAUGAUAAAACAAGCAAAUGCUCUCACACUCACAAGCUAUGCAAACACAAAUCAUUAGCCAACUCAAAAUAAUCCACCAUUAAUCAUAAAAGAUCCUUACAAAAAAAACAACCACAUCAAUCAUCACUACCUUGGGCUGAUCCCAAACCCAGAGAGAAGUUCUACACUUCCAUUCCUUAAUUACAAAAGAAAACAAGAAAAGUAAAAGCUAUGUAAGAACACAACACAACAAGACUUGGAAAACCUCCUAUGUUACCCACAAAGACUUGAUCUUUAAGUUCCAGCCCUUUUCUUCUCAUUUUCCUCCUUUCAGAGCCUUCAGAACUCCUUUUGUUUGUCCAGCCGCCACCCUUUCUGCCUGCCUUCUUUCCCCCCUAAAAACCCUUUUCUUGAUGCCUUUUAUACAAAGUGUCAGGACCUUUACAAACCAUAGAUGUGUCAGUUUACUUGAAGGAUUGUGUAUUUUAGAAAAGCUGGUCCACCUGUUAAGUCUUGUCAUUGUUCUCCUUGCCUUUGAAACACUCUCAGUUUAUCAGAGUUUUGGGUCAGCUCCAGCCUCCUACAUACAAAAUAACUAAAAGAAGUAAUUUGUACAAAAGGAAAGAAGAAUUCAUCACAAAUGCUAAGAAAAUGCAUGAUUAAUAAAGGAUCAACAACAAAAUGCAUGAUUAUAAUUUUGCAGUUUUUACCUACAACACUCUCUGACGUCGCCCAUCUUCGAGGCUUAGAGGCAUCUAGGCUGGAGGCUAAGAUGCAAGGCACACCUUAUCAAUUAUAUUGUGUGGAAGGAAAGAACUUGUGUAGCCGACCGCAAAUAGUUUGGACUAAAGGCUUGUUAUAUAUCACAUAGAUGAUUCACACAUGGCCAAGUUUUUAUUCUAGAUUUAGGAAAUAAGUAAACAUUAAUAUUAGUACACCUCAAGGUUUAUACAUUAAUGUGAAUAAUAAUUAUGUUCUAAUGCCUAGCCUUGAAUUUUGUAUUGUAGAGAACUCAUGCCCCCCAUAUACUCAAUUUCAGAUAACAAGAAGUGAAACUUGCCAAUUUAUUGGUUAUAUUUCAAGCUGAUAUGAUGCUUACGCAUGCCAAAAGUGUCUUCCCAUAAAUAGCUAAGAUGGUGAUAAGGAGUCAGGAUUGAAAUAUCCCAACGUUCUUUCUGCCAGACAGGUUAGCUUUCUGCCAGACAGGUUAGCUGUGUUAAUUUUGAGAGCCAAAUGUAGUGUGGUGUAGUAGUAGGCACUUCUAGGCCCCUCCCGGCUAUUGGAUCACUCCAGUGCUUCGGGGGUCAUGGAGUACAUAUGGUGAGCUACACCAAUUGUUAAAGAGCCUAACAUACCCAGGUUAAGAGAUAAUUGAGCAUGCCUGGCUUUGUUGCUUUCUAUAUUUAUUUAUCUUGUCUAUGAUUACAAUCCCAAAGUUUUUUUAUGAUAUAAUCAAGUAGGGGAAAUGAUCGUUUUUAUUUUUUUGGUUUUUUUGUACUCCUUAAUAAGGAAUAAUGUGAUGCUUAUCCUUGGUACACCAGUUCUCCACCUUGGCAUAAAAAUGAUCUACCACUUGUUCAUUUGUGUCUUGGAUUGAUGAGGACUUCAAUGGAGAGCCUAAUGGUGAAUUUGUUGUGUUGGAUGCUUUUUAUCAUAUUAAUCAAUUUAAAUCAGCUUUAUAUGCAGCUAGGCUAGGAGAUGAUAUAAUAUAAUAUGCUCAUCGGCAUCUUAUCUGGUUUUGAAAACUUACAAUGUUAGAACAAUAUACUAGUUUGACUGUUGCUUUGAAUUUGAAUUGAGUAUAGAAUUUACAACAAAAAAAGCUUAUGUUAUUAGGAUUUGUUACUUAUUUUUCUGGUUUUUAGAUGUUGGAUCUUAGAUUUUUUUUAUCCCAUGGUUAUUUUUAAACUGGUAAGUUUCACCUUAGUUGUAGUGGUUCAUGUGAAACUUAGAUUAGAUGUUCUUGAGCUACUUCUGUGUAAAGACACAAACGACUGAGUUGUACUUAUACUUAAAUAUUUACUUAAAUUUCUUUUUUUUUCCUAUUGCAUGUGAUACUUACAGUAAUUGAUAUGCUUUGAUCUAAUAACACAAAACCUCCCCUUAUGAUGUUUCUUCACUAUCCUAUAACCUUUUUCGGAAAAUGUUUACUUGGCAAUUGCAUGUUUUGGUUCAUGCUAACUAACUUGGUUACUUGGCUCUAUGUCUUGGUUUCUGUGGUCCAAAUUAUUUUCAAAACUACAUUUGUUUUACAAAUUCUUUGCACUUCUGGAACACAUUAUCUGCAAAACCAUUUGAAUUAGGAACUGUUGACGAGGAAACAAAACGGUGGGAGAUAAGUUAAAGUUCCAAAUUACAGUUUACUUAUUGCAGCCUAAUCAAAUCAUGACAGAAGAUGUGGUUUGCGCUAAUUAACCAUAUGGACCUUAGAGUGUGUUUUGGUUGGGGGUAAUUAGGUGUAAAGUGAGAAUUGGCAUUCCAUAACUUGAUUUUUACAUGCCAAGAGUAUUUUGUAUAUAAUUGGGUGCUUCUCAUGUUAUUGAAUUUCAAUGUGGUUUGGUUUUAAAUAUGUUUGCUAGUCCUUUGUCUGCUAGUUGAGUUACUUUUUGUGAUUGUGUUCAUUAUUUGUUUAAUUUUCUCAUUCAACGACUUAUCUGCUACCUUAAUUUAGGGUCAUUUGUGUCGUAUGGCAUAUGAAUGAUGUUACAGGUUUCCUUGGUUUAAAUGAUGAUAUAUUUAACCCAAAUUCAAUAACACUUCUUUAGCAAUUGUUCUCCAGAAAUGCAAAACCAGUCGACACUGUGGUUAUGACAAAUUGUACAAGGGAUGAGGGCCCUGUAGUUUGUAGGUACGUGUUGGUAGAUUUAUGCUCUUGUUUUCCUUACAUCAACUAGCUUGGCUUUUUGAUAUGUUGCAAGUCUUCUGAAUGAUAUUUUAUUUCAUAGGGCUAUUCUCUUGGUAUUAAGCGAUAUAGGCUACCUUCUUGACUGUCAUUCAAUGUUUGGUGUCUUCUUUCAUAAAAUGAGUUCCUUAUUGAGAUAUUCCGAAGAUUACAAAGAUAUCCUUAUAGAUAUGAUGCAGAUUUGAUUUAGUUGAUUUUGUUCCUAUUUAUAUCAGAUUUGAUUUAUAUAGAUUGUGAUAGCCUAAUUUAAGAGAUUUGCUGUCAGCUCUGUUUUUUUCUUAUUUUUGGCUUGUUGUUUCUGUAUAUUCAUGUAUUCUUUGUACAAUUAAAUUAAUAAGAUACACAUAU